CCUUUUCACUUCCUGUUUUCCUCCUUUGCUCUGCUGGUUUAGCCUUUGUAUAUGAUGAGGAGGUUUCACUCACUACAAUGUCACCUAGUUGAAAGAUGACUUCUCUGUUCCUGAUACAAUAGAGGAGUAUUGAUACAUUUUUAUUAUUGACUAUUUAAAAAUAUAUCAAUUAUAGAGGGCUACAAAAAUCUGGCCUCUUUUGAAAUGAGAAUAGAAAGACACAUAGACCAUAUUUUCAGAACCCCAAAUUGGGACACCUAGUGUGAAAAAUUAUAAGUUAAUUUAUAGGAACGAUGAAAGAGAAAGUCAAGAUUAAGAUUGUAAUGGAGAAUCCUGAAUACUCAGCAACCCUGGGCACAGGAGUAUAGGUGUCUUUAAGAGGGUAUUCAAUGGACUGAAGCAAGUUGGCUCCCAGGUGUGGUGGUGCACACCUGUUGCCCUAGCCACUUGGGAGGCUGAGGUGGGAGGAUCACUUGAGCCUGGAGGUAAAGCCUGCAGGGAGCUGUGAUCAUGUCACUGCUCUCCAGCCUGGGCAACAGAAUGAGGCCCUGUCUCAAAACAAAACAAAACAAAACAAAACAAAAACAACAACAACAACAAAACCAAAAAACAAACAAACAAAACAAAACAAAAACAAAAACCACCCCCAAACAAUUAAAAAACCCCUAAGAUUUAUGAACAAGUGGGCAAUCAGCUCUGCAUUUCUAGAUUAAGCUAGGUCCCAAUUCUUCCUCAGCCUCCACUCCUCCACCCUAUAAUCUUUUUAUCGCUUCCCCUCCUCACACCUGGUCGGGCUUACAGUUUCAUUCCGUGACUAGCCCUCCCCCACCUGCCCAGCAAUUUAUUCUUAAAAAGGUGGCUGGAGCUAGCUUCUCAGAAUUCAGGCCUGUCCUCAAUGCUACAAGGUACAGCCCAUUUAAGCUCCUGUAUAGACGCUCCUUUUUAUUAGGCCCCAGUCUCAUUUGACACCAGACCAACUUAGACUGUGCCCCAAAAAAACUUGUCAUCCCUACUAUCUUUUGUCCAGUCAUACUCCUAUUCACCGUUCUCAACUACUCAUACAUGCCCUGCUCUUGUUUACACUGCCGGUUUACACUGUUUCUCCAAGCCAUCACAGCUGAUAUCUCCUGGUGCUAUCCCCAAACUGCCACUCUAAACUCUUGAAGUAAAUAAAUAAUCUUUGCUGGCAGGACUAUGCUGAAUCUCCUUAGGCACUCUCUAAUCAGAUGUCCUAGGUCCUCCCAAUUCUUAGACCUUUUAUACCUGUUUUUCUCCUUCUCUUAUUCCAUUUAGUUUCUCAAUUCAUCCAAAACCGUAUCCAGGCCAUCACCAAUCAUUCUAUACAACAAAUGUUUCUUCUUACAUCCCCACAAUAUCACCCUUUACCACAAGACCUCCCUUCAGCUUAAUCUCUCCCACUCUAGGUUCCCACGCCGCCCCUAAUCCUGCUUGAAGCAGCCCUAAGAAACAUUGCCCAUUCUCUCUCCAUACCACCCCCACAAAAAUUUUCGCCGCCCCAACACUUCAACACUAUUUUGUUUUGUCUUAUUAAUAUAAGAAGGCAGGAAUGUCAGGCCUCUGAGCCCAGGCCAGGCCAUCGCAUCCCCUGUGACUUGCACGUAUACAUCCAGAUGGCC
rnacentral:lncRNA from 1 species